UGUAAAACUCGGGAUCAGCUAAAUUGAU
rnacentral:sRNA from 1 species